ncrna:unclassified sequences FTHFS RNA
AUCAGUACACAAGUACUGAUUACCCACUCGUGCGGCCAGCCAUUCCAACGGUCAGCCGCAUAAGUCCUGUAUGUGCCUGAGCCACUCCGACGGCAGGGCACCCACAUUAGAAAAUACAAGGAG